rnacentral:sRNA from 1 species
GGGUGGCUACUAUAUUGCCAGGUCAUAUCUACCUGGACACACAAACGCAGAAAAUUUCGUCUCAAUAUUGCUUCUAAUUCAUCUCCAUCAGCCAUUUAACGAGUGACUACGUUUCUUCUCUCGAAAGAAGCGAAAACCGUGGAGACAGCUUGAUUUUUUUUAAAUUUUUUUUUCCCUUCCCAUUCUAGCCAAAAUGGUAUUCUGUCCGUCCGUUUUAAAAAUCCAACCUGCAGUCCAAUAAAAAAGAGCUCUGUUGCCUGAAGCGAAAUGAAUUCAUAAUGAAAAUCAAGAGAAAAUUUCCGUUCGGCAAAGAGCCGACGGACUGUCUUCUUCGAUGAUGACCGAGAAGCAAAGCUCCAAUGCCUAGUUACUUCGAAGCCAUGGCAAAAAGAAAUUGCCGUGCAAUCUGGCAAAGGCCACACAGUGUGGAUUACGCAGGCUUACACUCUAGCCAGGUGAACUGCAUAUUGUCA